AGAGUUUGAUCCUGGCUCAGGACGAACGCUGGCGGCGUGCUUAACACAUGCAAGUCGAGCGGUAAGGCCUUUCGGGGUACACGAGCGGCGAACGGGUGAGUAACACGUGGGUGAUCUGCCCUGCACUCUGGGAUAAGCUUGGGAAAACUGGGUCUAAUACCGGAUAUGACCACAGCAUGCAUGUGUUGUGGUGGAAAGAUUUAUCGGUGCAGGAUGGGCCCGCGGCCUAUCAGCUUGUUGGUGGGGUAAUGGCCUACCAAGGCGACGACGGGUAGCCGACCUGAGAGGGUGACCGGCCACACUGGGACUGAGACACGGCCCAGACUCCUACGGGAGGCAGCAGUGGGGAAUAUUGCACAAUGGGCGGAAGCCUGAUGCAGCGACGCCGCGUGAGGGAUGAAGGCCUUCGGGUUGUAAACCUCUUUCAGCAGGGACGAAGCGUGAGUGACG
rnacentral:rRNA from 1 species